rnacentral:lncRNA from 1 species
UUUGCCAUGUUGGCCAGGCUGGUCUUGAACCCCUGACCUCAGGUGAUCCACCCGCCUCGGCCUCCCAAAGUGCCAGCUACUUCCCUACUCUAGUCAGUGGGCGCCUGCCUUUCUCGACACUUUCCUUCCUCACCUCCUCCACCCCUCCCUCACCCAAUCCAAAGGGCACUAACAACACUAGGUGGAGAGAAAUGCCCCAGGAGAGCUAACACUAAGGACUUCAUCCACGUCUUCUGAAGUCUGCCUGGACUUUGUGAAAGCCUAAUGUUUACUGACAAUGGCCACCAUUAUUUCUGUUUUAUGGGAGAGGUCUGUUGGCAAAGAGUCGGCCACCCAGAUUUACCACAUUUCUCUGCAGAACACUCUUUUGUUCAAUAUAAGCAGAGACCUUCCACCGGGGGCAGGAUUUGUGGUGAGUCCAAUACCCCUUUGUACUUGAUGAGUUUCUGGAUGCCUUUUGAGUCCAGCUCAUGUGGGUGCUAUUUGCAGUUAAAUUAAAAUGUUUGGGAAUGGGAUGGAAGGGAGAGAGAGGGAGUUAUAAGAAAGGAGGUGUAGAAUGCUGUCUUAGCCAAGACUUAAGACAAUUGGCACAAAGAUCCCGCCUAGUGGAGGAGAGCUGUGAAAUUGUGGCCUCUACCAAUGCUGAGUUUAGCCUUGAUACCCUCUCCCCUCCCUCCCUCCUUCCCACCCACAGCCUUCUUUUUGCCCUGGGCCUUUUCUCUUUCAUCCUAUUUCCUUGUCUUGGCAUGAAACCUGGGCCCCUGGCUGUCAGUACCUUCAGAGUGUUUGAAACUACCAGCUGAAACCUUUCUCCUAACAAGAUAAGAACCUUCUGCUGGUGCCUUCUGAAAACCCAGAUAGGACUGAGAACUGACCUGUUUAACUCAUCAACUCCUUAUUAGAUACCUGCAGUGAGCCAAGGACCAGGCUAGUUCCUGUGAUGCUGAAGAUGUUGAAGGGAAGCCCAUAACAUUACAACGUUGACCAAUCCUCCAGAAAAGAAGCUCUAACAGAGGACCCUGGCUGUCUACGGGGUUGGUAGAGUCCCCAGGAGUUCUUCAGGGACAGGCAGUCAAGGACAGCUGGUGCCCAGAGCCUCCCUGGCUUGCCCACUGGGCAGCUCCAGGGACAACUUGACCUGCCCAAUCAAAGCCAAAGGUCAGAACAGGAGGCAGAACCUCGCCCGGCCCUCUUCAAACUCCAAGGGAAAGCCUGUUCCUUGGAUCCUUUCAGAAAUAAAAACAAAAUGACAUCAGGUGUUAUUUAGUGUUAUUUUGCUGACUUUCACUCAAUCUGUUCUCCCAGGAUCUCAGAUUUGCUGACCAGCAGGACCAGAUGGCACCUUUUGCAGGACUAUCUCAUUGUUUCUGCCUUUGCAUGUGCCCUGAGCAGCCUAAGAAACAACUUUUCUUCUUCUGACUGUGCAUUGUUUCUAGUUUUUUUUUUUUCUUCCUAUGACUCUGCUGAGGGCAUGUGACACCCAAUCCUGGCUUACGUUUCAUAUCCUUGAGAUGACAGCUGACUUUGUUGUCCAGAAGGAGGGAGAGUGAGGGUAAGGGCUGGGGAGGGAAGGGAAAGUACCAGAAAAUGGAAGGGGCUAGAUUGCUCCAGGUUCAUAACUCUGAUUGCAACCACCCUCUUUCUCAGCCUUUCUGGAAUGUGGCUGUUUAUGCUCCAUGUACCCCUGGGAACUUCCUGAUUGCCCAACAAAGAUUCAAUACCCCAGGCUUUGGAGUCAUUAGACUGGAGUUUGAAUCCCAGGUUCCUGACUCAAGUGGGCAUGUUAUGUAACCUGUCUGAGACUCAGUUUCCUCAUCUGAAAAUGUGGCCAAUAAUAGUCUAGACCUCCCAGAGUGGUGGAGAUUAAAAGAGGCAAUGACUGUAGAGUGCUUAGCACCCAAUCAAUGUCAACUAUUAGGAGAGACAUUCUCCUUCAUUUGUUUCACAAGGAAAAUGCAAGGAGAUGCCACUCCAGCAAGCAUUUCUGGAAUCCUGCUGGCGAGGUCAUAAUGACCAAAAUUAUGGGCUUUAGAAUGGUCCUCAUUUAGCCUGUACUAUUUAUAAUGAAUAGGAAGGCAAAUUACUUAACCUCUCUACACACAAGUUUUCUCAUCUGUAAAAUGGAGAUGGUAAAACCUACUCUAUAGGAUUAUUGUGAAGGUUGAGUUAAAUAAAAAAUGUCUAAAAUGCUUUAUACAGGACCGUGAUCCCUUACCCCGAACCCAUGGGAUUUUGCAAGACUUUUUGGAUUCCAGAAAGUUUCCAUCUCUCCAUUCGUGAGCUCCUUGAAGGCAGAGAACACUUGGCUUUUCUUCCUAUACCUCCAGUCCCUAAUGCAGGGACAUGAGAGAUGCCCAUUUGUGUUUGAUGAAUGAAUGAGUGAAUAAAUGAAUGAAUGAGUGCCUGGAGAUCAGAGUACAUGGGAUGAGUGUUCGGAGUUCUACAGACUCAGGAAGCCCCAGCUGACAUUCCAAGAAGAAGGAGACACGAAGGUGAGGGGAUGCCAUGCAGUUAGCGUCACAUGAAGAAAAACAAAAUUUAAGGUAUCAUCCUUAGAAGACGGAGGGAUGACAGUUUCAAGGAGGAUUUGUUCAUCAGAUGCUGGGAAGGAAUUUCAACAGGUAAAACUGCAUAGUGCAUAGGUUUAUAAGCAUGAACAAGCAUGUCAGCUAUGUAUUUAGUAGGUGCUCAUGAUUUGUGUCAAGCAUUGUUCUAAGUGCCUUGUAAGCAUUAAGCCAUUUAAAUUCUUAUAACAAUUGCAUGAAACAUUUAACCAUUACUAUGUCUAUUUUACAGAUGAGGAAACUGAAGAGCAGAGAGGUUAAGUACCCCCCUACCCUGCCCCCCAGGGGACACAACCUGUAAGUGACACCGUGAGGCUUUUAACCCAAAGAGUUUGGUUCCAGAAGUCUGUCUUGCUGCCUUCAAGCCAGCCCUCGCUCUGCUGCUGGUGCUAACCUAAGGACUUGAUACCUUUUUUAAGGCCCUCCUGAGAGGGAGGUAUGAUUCUCCUCCAUUUUCAGAUGAGAAAGCUGAGGCUCCAAGAGGUUGCCAAAGUUCAGCUAGCUGACAAGUGGCAGAGCCAGGAUCUACAGUCACAGCCAUGCUCACUGUGUCCUGUGUCUUCUGACACUCACGGCUGAGCUCUAAGCCUGGGUCACCUCCUCUGCCCCUCUCUCCACAGCUCUGGAACCUCAGCCAAGGCCCAGCAGAUGGUGGCCCUACAUGCACAUUUCUGACUCAGCCGCCCCCUCUCCACCCGCUGCUUCUCAUCCCAGCUCUGAACCUCUAACCCACCAUAGUUUCUGAGACAGGGACACCAUCCUGACCUGGCAUGAGAUUAGGAACAGCUCAGGCCAUCAGCAUCUUUUGGGGGCAAAAAUAGGUGCAGCUAAAAUCUAUUUAUACAUCCCUGAUGGGCAGGAAGGCGACAGCCAGACCUAAGGAAAGGUUGUUCAAGGAUUCAGCAUGUCAGCAUCCCGGGUACCUGAGCAGGCUGAUGGGAGGUGUGUGCAGGACAGGGAGCCCCAGGCAGGCCCUCUGUCUCAGCUGGGAGGGCAGGAUACUUUUCCUGGCUCUCCUUCACCCAGGCUCUCCUGCUCCUUCCCUCAGGGCCUUCCUUUGCACAAUGGCUGGCAGGCUCAGGAUGCCUCUGAAGCCAGGAAGAGGGGCACUUUGACUAGUCAACCCAGCCUCCUUGACAGAGCCCUAGGCCCAAGCUGACCCCCCGGGGGAUAAUUGGAGCAGCAUUUGAGCAUACUAUUUGGUUACUUUCAUCUCAAGUGCUUGACCCAAAAGACAUCUGGCACAGGCUCAGCUACUCAGUACCCCUUCCUGGGGCGACAUGUCACUGUGACAGUACUGUGCCUCCAUUUCCCCAUGUGUGAAGACAGAAAAUUCUCAAGUGUCUAGCACACACAGGCUUGACCAAGGGAGACCCCCAUGCCCUAGACAGUAGCAGAAAAAAUUUCCUUGUGUGGGCUGAGGAAGGUAGCAUGGCUAGGGUUGGAGGGAGAAAAAGCUCAGGUUUCAGGAUCCAGCAGAUUUGGGUUCCAUUUCUGGAUCUGCCUCUUCCUGUCUAUGUGAUCUUGGGCAAAUACUUACCAUAUCUGAGCCCUGGAAAUAGUAACCAUUCCAAUACUUAAAACAGGUCUCUGAGGUAGAUGCUGUCUCUAGACAUGUCUUAUAAUCGAGAAACUGGGCACAGAGAGAGAAAUUAACUUGCUCCAGGUCACACAGAUGAUAAGUAACAAGAGUCAAGAUUCAAACCUAGAUGGCCUGGCUCUCCUCUUUGCUCCUAACCACUACCCCACACUGCCCUGCUUCCUAUAAAACCUGGAAGAGGAGAGUUCUGAUCCUAGUCCUGCCAGUAAGUUAAGGCACAGGGCCACUUGGACCUUGUAUUGGUGCAUUUUCAUGCUGCUGAUAAAGACAUAGCGGAGACUGGGCAAUUUACAAAAGAAAGAGGUUUAAUGACUUACAGUUCCAUAUGGCUGGGAAUGCCUCACAAUCAUGACAGAAGGCAAGGAGAAGCAAGUCACAACUUACAUGGAUGGUGACAAGCAAAAAAAAACCUUGUACAGAGAAACUCUCAUUUCUUUUUUUUUUUUUUUUUG